rnacentral:misc_RNA from 1 species
UCGUGGGGCUUCGGCCCUAUCGAGAUAGAACCCUUGCCUUUAUAGUACCGUUCGUUGCCUCGGCAAUGCGUAAUAGCACAGCCAAUGGGGCCAAACAAAAACCAAACCUCUUUAACAAGCAGAUAGUCUGAAAAACAAACAAAAGUUA